UGAGGAAUUUUGCACAAUGGGGGAAACCCUGAUGCAGCGACGCCGCGUGUAUGAUGAAGGGGCUUUGCCCUGUAAAGUACUGUCGGAUGGGAAGAAAAGCCUGAUAUUUGGGCUGGGACUGUACCAUCAAAGGAAGGGUCGGCUAACUACGUGCCAGCAGCCGCGGUAAUACGUAGGACCCAAGCGUUGUCCGGAUUUACUGGGUGUAAAGGGUGCGCGGGCGGACUCGUGCGUCGGAAGUUAAAUAUCCGUGCUUAACAUGGAAAAUGCUUUCGAUACGGCGAGUCUUGAGUGCGAGAGAGGAUGAUAGAAUUCCUGGUGUAGCGGUGAAAUGCGUAGAUAUCAGGAGGAAUACCAGUGGCGAAGGCGGUCAUCUGGCUCGCAACUGACGCUUAGGCACGAAAGCGUGGGGAUCAAACAGG
rnacentral:rRNA from 1 species